UACGGAGGGGGCUAGCGUUGUUCGGAAUUACUGGGCGUAAAGCGCACGUAGGCGGCUAUUCAAGUCAGAGGUGAAAGCCCGGGGCUCAACCCCGGAACUGCCUUUGAAACUAGAUAGCUAGAAUCUUGGAGAGGUCAGUGGAAUUCCGAGUGUAGAGGUGAAAUUCGUAGAUAUUCGGAAGAACACCAGUGGCGAAGGCGACUGACUGGACAAGUAUUGACGCUGAGGUGCGAAAGCGUGGGGAGCAAACAGG
rnacentral:rRNA from 1 species